rnacentral:rRNA from 1 species
GGGGAAUAUUGGACAAUGGGCGAAAGCCUGAUCCAGCCAUGCCGCGUGUGUGAAGAAGGUCUUCGGAUUGUAAAGCACUAUAAGUUGGGAGGAAGGGCAGUAAGUUAAUACCUUGCUGUUUUGACGUUACCAACAGAAUAAGCUCCGGCUAACUUCGUGCCAGCAGCCGCGGUAAUACGUAGGGUGCGAGCGUUAAUCGGAAUUACUGGGCGUAAAGCGUGCGCAGGCGGUUAUAUAAGACAGAGGUGAAAUCCCCGGGCUCAACCUGGGAAAUGCAUUUGUGACUCUAUAGCUAGAGUACGGCAGAAGGGGAUGGAAUUCCGCGUGUAGCAGUGAAAUGCGUAGAUAUGCGGAGGAACACCGAUGGCGAAGGCAAUCCCCUGGGCCUGUACUGACGCUCAUGCACGAAAGCGUGGGGAGCAAACA